rnacentral:rRNA from 1 species
AUUGAACGCUGGCGGCAUGCCUUACACAUGCAAGUCGAACGGCAGCGGGCCUUCGGGUGCCGGCGAGUGGCGAACGGGUGAGUAAUGCAUCGGAACGUGCCAUUGAGUGGGGGAUAACGUAGCGAAAGUUACGCUAAUACCGCAUAUUCUGUGAGCAGGAAAGCAGGGGACCGCAAGGCCUUGCGCUCUUUGAGCGGCCGAUGUCAGAUUAGCUAGUUGGUGAGGUAAAGGCUUACCAAGGCGACGAUCUGUAGCGGAUCUGAGAGGAUGAUCCGCCACACUGGAACUGAGACACGGUCCAGACUCCUACGGGAGGCAGCAGUGGGGAAUUUUGGACAAUGGGCGCAAGCCUGAUCCAGCCAUGCCGCGUGAGUGAAGAAGGCC